rnacentral:rRNA from 1 species
AACGAACGCUGGCGGCAGGCCUAACACAUGCAAGUCGAGCGGGCAUCCUUCGGGAUGUUAGCGGCGGACGGGUGAGUAACGCGUGGGAACGUGCCCUUUGCUACGGAAUAGCCUCGGGAAACUGAGAGUAAUACCGUAUGUGCCCUUCGGGGGAAAGAUUUAUCGGCAAAGGAUCGGCCCGCGUUGGAUUAGGUAGUUGGUGGGGUAAUGGCCUACCAAGCCGACGAUCCAUAGCUGGUUUGAGAGGAUGAUCAGCCACACUGGGACUGAGACACGGCCCAGACUCCUACGGGUGGCAG